GGGGGUGACUGGAUUUGACGGCAAGUCGAGAUGGUACGUAAGCAUGCGGAGUGAUGACUGUGGACUCCAUAAUCACGUCGGUCGAAAAAUUAAUUGGCGAAACACGUUACGCUCUCGCUGCCUAAUCGAAGUACAGUAGAUUACUGGCUUUAUUCUCUUACAAGGUGAGAGAACGAGACGUCGCUCCGAGGAUGGUGUUCCGAAUCCAAAGAUCCAGCGGCGCAGGAAAAUCGGAAAUAGUCUUGUCAGGCCUCGAUGGCGGGAUGAAAUUUUAGAGGAUAAGGGUGUAAUUGGUGGCUCAGGUCUUGUUGCAUCACGAAAAUGAAGGCUGAGAUAAGCAUGUAGAAAGCGUAUGGUUUCCUUGUGCGGACGAGGGUUCGAAUCCCUCCACUUCCACAG
rnacentral:tmRNA from 1 species